CUUGGACUGCGUUAAGCUUCGGUUAAGCUUUACAAGUCUUUACUAUGAACAUCCGGGUUUCCUGGAUUUGACAUUUUGACUUCGGGUCGGAGUGUCUGACGCCUCCCUGUUAAACUCUUGAGAGCCGCUGAUGCGGCUCUUUUUUU
rnacentral:sRNA from 1 species